rnacentral:lncRNA from 1 species
GUGUGUACAAUCCACUUAAAGCAAGGCAAAGAUUCUAUAACAAAGCGGUCAAACCACUGAAAAAUCAACAAAUCUUGUUAAUGCCACUUCAAAACCAUUUUUACAGAGUUAUGUCCCCUUUCAUACCAAUUGUAAACAUGUUUAAAUUUAAUUUUCAAAUUGCAUUUUUGUACUCAAACUGGACUUUAUUUCAGCCGUUAAAAAUGUUAACAGUUUUACAAUCUUUUCGCGAAUUUAAU